AUUGAACGCUGGCGGCAGGCCUAACACAUGCAAGUCGAGCGGAUGAAGGGAGCUUGCUCCUGGAUUCAGCGGCGGACGGGUGAGUAAUGCCUAGGAAUCUGCCUGGUAGUGGGGGAUAACGUCCGGAAACGGGCGCUAAUACCGCAUACGUCCUGAGGGAGAAAGGGGGGGAUCUUCGGACCUCACGCUAUCAGAUGAGCCUAGGUCGGAUUAGCUAGUUGGUGGGGUAAAGGCCUACCAAGGCGACGAUCCGUAACUGGUCUGAGAGGAUGAUCAGUCACACUGGAACUGAGACACGGUCCAGACGCCUACGGGAGGCAGCAGUGGGGAAUAUUGGACAAUGGGCGAAAGCCUGAUACAGCCAUGCCGCGUGUGUGAAGAAGGUCUUCGGAUUGUAAAGCACUUUAAGUUGGGAGGAAGGGCAGUAAGUUAAUACCUUGCUGUUUUGACGUUACCAACAGAAUAAGCACCGGCUAACUUCGUG
rnacentral:rRNA from 1 species